UAUAUAUUACUUCUCAUAAAAUGCCACUUUUGUGCUUUUUUCUUUUUUAGGGGAAAAUAAUAUAUUUUGUUAUCUAAUCAAACUUUUCUUCUGAACAAAAGGUCUUUUUUAGCCCUUAAACUAAUAUCAAAUAGUUAAAUAAACCGUAAAACUUCAAAGGUCAAAUAAGUCCCUUAUGUCUUAAUUUCAGGCCAAUUACAAAUCUAAUUUAACAAUGAUAAAAAAAAUUAAUAAAAUAAGUAAACUAAGAAUAAAAUAUUAUUUUAUAUUUUAAUAAUUAAAAAUAUUUAUCAAAAUAAAAAAUUUUCCAUUGUUUAUAAAAUGUAAAAAUAAAGCAAAAUCAACGACAUUUUCGAGGUAAGUAAGAGCCAUUGAUUGAAUGCUUUGUGUAUUGAGUUGGGUGCUUGAAGAGUUGAUGAUUUGGGCAGUGGUUUGGUCUGAAGUGGAAAAGGAGGAGGAAGAGGAGGAAGACAUUGGUUUUGGUGGACCAACAAUCUCGUUAACAUUUAAAAUGAAUUUGGCAGCUGUGGUGGAGGGAUCCAGCACUAUUAGGCUUUUUUCUAGAGACUAGACAUUGAAUCGGAAUUUAGAAAGCAAACCUGUCAUUGAUUUCUAACUCCCAGUUUUUCUGCUUUUGACUGCCUUAUGUAUAGACCAUGACGAUGACAUGAGGAAUGAGAGUAAAUUCAAUGUGAAAAAAUAAAUGAGGAUCAUUGUAAGCUCUGCGUUAUCUACAGGGGUUCUGUUCCUAGUGCUAACUAUAGUCUCGUAUGUUUGGAAAAAGAAGCAGCAGAAAGCUGGUACAUCACUCCUUGAAAUUCCUUGAAAUUCUAACUCCCAAAUUACAGAAAAUAUUUGGGCUUAGUAAUAUAAGAGAUCAUGAAUCGGUAAAGAUUAUAUUAUACUGGAAAUCAUAAGGAAAUACGAGAAAUGGGAUAACUUGUCUUUUUCUUUAUAUAAAAUUUUAUUCAUUCUGGCUCCACUUUGCAGGAAAAGAAACUGGCGUUGUGGAAGGAAAUGCAAAUGACAAGGGCCAAAAAGAAGAUCUAGAACUACGGCGGUUUGAUUUUGGCACUAUUGCUCGUGCAACUAAUAACUUCUGUCACCAAUAUACUCGGAGGAGGCUUUGGACCUGUUUUUAAGGCAACAGUCUGAAUGAAGAUUUAGCAUUAUUGUGGAUAAAUUGAUAGUUCAGCAAUUGUUCCAACUUCAAAGCCUAAACAGAUAAGCAGAGAAGGAACGUUGAAAGAUGGACAAGAAAGUGCUGUGAAGAGGCUCUCAAAGAAUUCAACCCAAGGACUUGAUGAGUUCAAGAAUGAAGUAAUGCAUGUUGCCGUACUUCACCAACGGAAUCUGGUGAAGCUUCUAGGAUGCUGC